AAGAUCAUACUUCACAGGAUCAUUUCUGUAGUAUAUCUUGACUUGUUCCACCAGAAACAUUUCUCAAAAAUCAACCCGCGAUGACGAGUAGCGACGCUGGCUUAUAAGAAACAGGUUGCGAUCGUAGCCACUUGCGUGGUAUCUGGUCGUCGUAAAUGAGGACCGUUUUCGGUGUUCCCUGCCACGCAGAAGAGAGACCGGCGUUACUCAGAGCGGU